rnacentral:rRNA from 1 species
UGGGGAAUCUUGGACAAUGGGCGCAAGCCUGAUCCAGCCAUGCCGCGUGAGCGAUGAAGGCCUUAGGGUUGUAAAGCUCUUUCACCGGUGAAGAUAAUGACGGUAGCCGGAGAAGAAGCCCCGGCUAACUCCGUGCCAGCAGCCGCGGUAAUACGGAGGGGGUUAGCGUUGUUCGGAAUUACUGGGCGUAAAGCGCACGUAGGCGGACCAGAAAGUUGGGGGUGAAAUCCCGGGGGCUCAACCCCGGAACUGCCUCCAAAACUAUUGGUCUAGAGUUCGAGAGAGGUGAGUGGAAUUCCAAGUGUAGAGGUGAAAUUCGUAGAUAUUUGGAGGAACACCAGUGGCGAAGGCGGCUCACUGGCUCGAUACUGACGCUGAGGUGCGAAAGUGUGGGGAGCAAACAGGAUUAGAUACCCUGGUAGUCCACACCGUAAAACGAUGAAUGCCAGUCGUCGGAUAGCAUGCUAUUCGGUGACACACCUAACGGAUUAAGCAUUCCGCCUGGGGAGUACGGUCGCAAGAUUAAAA